rnacentral:rRNA from 1 species
GACGAACGCUGGCGGCGUGCCUAAUACAUGCAAGUAGAACGCUGAAGGAGGAGCUUGCUUCUCUGGAUGAGUUGCGAACGGGUGAGUAACGCGUAGGUAACCUGCCUGGUAGCGGGGGAUAACUAUUGGAAACGAUAGCUAAUACCGCAUAAUAGUAGAUGUCGCAUGACAUUUGCUUAAAAGGUGCAAUUGCAUCACUACCAGAUGGACCUGCGUUGUAUUAGCUAGUUGGUGAGGUAACGGCUCACCAAGGCAACGAUACAUAGCCGACCUGAGAGGGUGAUCGGCCACACUGGGACUGAGACACGGCCCAGACUCCUACGGGAGGCAGCAGUAGGGAAUCUUCGGCAAUAGACGGAAGUCUGACCGAGCAACGCCGCGUGAGUGAAGAAGGUUUUCGGAUCGUAAAGCUCUGUUGUAAGAGAAGAACGAGGGUGAGAGUGGAAAGUUCACACUGUGACGGUAUCUUACCAGAAAGGGACGGCUAACUACGUG